UGCCAGGAGCUGAGUCUGGUGAGACCUUGGCCCCACCCCUCAGUAUCUCAGGCCCUUGUAGGUACUGGUCUAUCUGGGGUUCCAGCACCUGCCUCUCUCAAGGUCUCUGCCAGCGGACAUCAGCGUGAACACUGGGGCAGGAAGAGCAGUGAAACUGAUUUGCAUGAAGAGCCUCCUCCUGCUAAUUGCUCUGGGGAGGCAUGAAAAGGACCCAAGGACACCAAUUUUCAGCUGAGGAGUCUGGGGACGUUGAACCUUUGUGAGUGUCUUCACCAUGGCCUGGACAAUGCUCCUUCUUGGGCUGCUCGCCUACAGCUCAGGGGCUGAUUCUCAGACUGUGGUGAUCCAGGAACCGUCACUAUCAGUGUCUCCAGGAGGGACGAUCACGCUCACCUGUGGCCUUAGCUCUGGGUCAGUCUCUACGGGAUAUUACCCAGGCUGGUACCAGCAGGCACCAGGCCAGUCUCCACGAAUGCUUAUCUACAGCACGAACAACCGCCCCUCUGGAGUCCCUGGUCACUUCUCAGGCUCCAUUGCUGGGAACAAAGCCGCCCUCACCAUCACGCGGGCCCAGGCUGAGGACGAGAGCGAUUAUUACUGUUCACUGUACGUGGGUGGUGGCAUUUCCACAGUGACUUAA